rnacentral:rRNA from 1 species
GGUCAAGCUAGAAAGAGCGCAAGGGGAAUGCCUUGGCAUCAGGAGCCGACGAAGGACGUGACAAGCUGCGAUAAGCUGCGGGGAGUGGCACAUACACAUUGAUCCGCAGAUUUCCGAAUGGGGCAACCCGGCAGAGCAAUACUCUGUCAGCGUGCGUUGAAUCAAAUAGGCGUACGCGGGGAACCGCCUGAACUGAAACAUCUAAGUAGGGCGAGGAAGAGAAAUCAACAGAGAUUCCGCUAGUAGUGGCGAGCGAACGCGGAAGAGGCCAAACCGAGGGAUUUAUUCCUCGGGGUUGAGGACUCACACAACGGUAAGAUAGGUUAGUCGAACGGUAUGGGAAGGCCGGCCACAGCGGGUGAGAGCCCCGUAGACGAAAACUGAAUCUUAUUAGUGAGGAUCCAGAGUACCGCCGGACACGUGAAACCCGGUGGGAAACUGGGGGGACCACCCUCCAAGCCU